UGAAUACAGAUGCUACGGCGUCGAAGCAGUCUAUGUCAUACUUCCAAGAAAAGCUUGCACUGUCAUAAACAAAUAAUGCCUGUACCAUAACCGACACAGGUGGGUAGGUAGAGUAUACUAAGGGGCGCGAGAUAACUCUCUCUAAGGAACUCGGCAAAAUGACUCCGUAACUUCGGGAGAAGGAGUGCCUUAUUUAUAAGGUUGCAAUAACAAGAUCCAAGCAACUGUUUACCAAAAACACAGGUCUCCGCUAAGUCGUAAGACGAUGUAUGGGGGCUGACGCCUGCCCAGUGCCAGAAGGUUAAAGAAGUUGGUUAGCAUCCGCGAAGCUGAUAACUGAAGCCCUAGUGAACGGCGGCCGUAACUAUAACGGUCCUAAGGUAGCGAAAUUCCUUGUCGGGUAAGUUCCGACCCGCACGAAAGGCGUAAUGAUUUGGAUACUGUCUCGGAGAGGGGCUCGGUGAAAUAGACUUGUCUGUGAAGAUGCGGACUACCUGCACCAGGACAGAAAGACCCUAUGAAGCUUUACUGUAACCUGAAAUUGAAAUUGGACUUUACUUGCGCAGUAUAGGUGGGAGGCGUUGAGAAUAUUCUUGCGGGAUUAUUGGAGCCAUCAGUGAGAUACCACUCUUGUAAUGUUAGAUUUCUAACUUUGUAUCAUUAUCUGGUCAAAGAACAGUUUCAGGCGGGCAGUUUGACUGGGGCGGUCGCCUCCUAAACGGUAACGGAGGCGCACAAAGGUUUCCUCUGAACGGGUAGAAAUCGUAUCUAGAGUGUAAAGGCAUAAGGAAGCUUGACUGUGAGACCUACAAGUCGAGCAGGGACGAAAGUCGGUCUUAGUGAUCUGACGGUGCUGAGUGGAAAGGCCGUCACUCAACGGAUAAAAGUUACUCUAAGGAUAACAGGCUGAUCUCCCCCAAGAGUUCACAUCGACGGGGAGGUUUGGCACCUCGAUGUCGGCUCAUCGCAUCCUGGGGCGGUAGUACGUCCCAAGGGUUGGGCUGUUCGCCCAUGAAAGCGGUACGCGAGCUGGGUUCAGAACGUCGUGAGACAGUUCGGUCCAUAUCCGGUGUAGGCGUUAGAAUAUUGAGAGGAGCCUUCUUUAGUACGAGAGGACCGAGAAGGACAUACCUCUGGUGUACCAGUUAUCGUGCCAACGGUAAACGCUGGGUAGCUAUGUGUGGAGUGGAUAACCGCUGAAAGCAUCUAAGUGGGAAGCCCACCUCAAGAUAAGUAUUCUC
rnacentral:rRNA from 1 species